rnacentral:tRNA from 1 species
CACUUAGUGACCGAAUAGGUAUAAGUCUUUUAAACUUAUUAUAGUCCCACUCUGAGUG